CGGCGCAUUAGCUAGUUGGUGAGGUAACGGCUCACCAAGGCAACGAUGCGUAGCCGACCUGAGAGGGUGAUCGGCCACACUGGGACUGAGACACGGCCCAGACUCCUACGGGAGGCAGCAGUAGGGAAUCUUCCGCAAUGGACGAAAGUCUGACGGAGCAACGCCGCGUGAGCGAUGAAGGCCUUCGGGUCGUAAAGCUCUGUUGUCAGGGAAGAACAAGUAUCGGAGUAACUGCCGGUACCUUGACGGUACCUGACCAGAAAGCCACGGCUAACUACGUGCCAGCAGCCGCGGUAAUACGUAGGUGGCAAGCGUUGUCCGGAAUUAUUGGGCGUAAAGCGCGCGCAGGCGGUUCCUUAAGUCUGAUGUGAAAGCCCCCGGCUCAACCGGGGAGGGUCAUUGGAAACUGGGGAACUUGAGUGCAGAAGAGGAGAGCGGAAUUCCACGUGUAGCGGUGAAAUGCGUAGAGAUGUGGAGGAACACCAGUGGCGAAGGCGGCUCUCUGGUCUGUAACUGACGCUGAGGCGCGAAAGCGUGGGGAGCGAACAGGAUUAGAUACCCUGGUAGUCCACGCCGUAAACGAUGAGUGCUAAGUGUUAGAGGGUUUCCGCCCUUUAGUGCUGCAGCAAACGCAUUAAGCACUCCGCCUGGGGAGUACGGCCGCAAGGCUGAAACUCAAAGGAAUUGACGGGGGCCCGCACAAGCGGUGGAGCAUGUGGUUUAAUUCGAAGCAACGCGAAGAACCUUACCAGGUCUUGACAUCCUCUGACAACCCUAGAGAUAGGGCUUUCCCCUUCGGGGGACAGAGUGACAGGUGGUGCAUGGUUGUCGUCAGCUCGUGUCGUGAGAUGUUGGGUUAAGUCCCGCAACGAGCGCAACCCUUGAUCUUAGUUGCCAGCAUUAAGUUGGGCACUCUAAGGUGACUGCCGGUGACAAACCGGAGGAAGGUGGGGAUGACGUCAAAUCAUCAUGCCCCUUAUGACCUGGGCUACACACGUGCUACAAUGGAUGGAACAAAGGGCAGCGAAGCCGCGAGGUGAAGCCAAUCCCAUAAAACCAUUCUCAGUUCGGAUUGCAGGCUGCAACUCGCCUGCAUGAAGCCGGAAUCGCUAGUAAUCGCGGAUCAGCAUGCCGCGGUGAAUACGUU
rnacentral:rRNA from 1 species